rnacentral:misc_RNA from 1 species
GAUGAAGAACGCAGCGAAAUGCGAUAAGUAAUGUGAAUUGCAGAAUUCAGUGAAUCAUCGAAUCUUUGAACGCACAUUGCGCCCCUUGGUAUUCCGAGGGGCAUGCCUGUUCGAGCGUCAUUAUAACCCCUCAAGCUCAGCUUGGUGUUGGGGCCUGCUGCACUGGCAGCCCUUAAAAUCAGUGGCGGCGCCAUCUGGCUCUAAGCGUAGUAAUUCUUCUCGCUAUGGAGUCCUGGUGGAUGCUUGCCAUCAACCCCCAAUUUUUCUAUGGUUGACCUCGGAUCAGGUAGGGAUACCCGCAGAACUUAAGCAUAUCAAUAAGCGGAGGA